rnacentral:rRNA from 1 species
UACGUAGGGGGCUAGCGUUGUCCGGAAUCAUUGGGCGUAAAGCGCGUGUAGGCGGCCCGGUAAGUCCGCUGUGAAAGUCGGGGGCUCAACCCUCGGAUGCCGGUGGAUACUGUCGGGCUGGAGUGCGGAAGAGGCGAGUGGAAUUCCUGGUGUAGCGGUGAAAUUCGUAGAUAUUAGGAGGAACACCGGAAGCGAAAGCGGCUAUCUGGCUAGAUACUGACGCUGUUGCACGAAAGCGUGGGGAUCAAACAGG